CACCGCGGUUAUACGAGAGACCCAAAUUGAUUGACAACGGCGUAAAGGGUGGUUAAAAUAUAUUCUACUAGGGCCGAACUAGUCCCUGACUGUUAUACGUUACGGAAUAAAGAAGAACUUAAACGAAGGUAGCCCUAAAAUUUUGAAGCCACGAAAGCUAGGAAA
rnacentral:rRNA from 1 species